AAAUAGAUACCCUGGUAGUCCACGCCGUAAACGAUGAGUGCUAAGUGUUAGAGGGUUUCCGCCCUUUAGUGCUGCAGCUAACGCAUUAAGCACUCCGCCUGGGGAGUACGGCCGCAAGGCUGAAACUCAAAGGAAUUGACGGGGGCCCGCACAAGCGGUGGAGCAUGUGGUUUAAUUCGAAGCAACGCGAAGAACCUUACCAGGUCUUGACAUCCUCUGCCAACCCUAGAGAUAGGGCGUUCCCCUUCGGGGGACAGAGUGACAGGUGGUGCAUGGUUGUCGUCAGCUCGUGCCGUGAGAUGUUGGGUUAAGUCCCGCAACGAGCGCAACCCUUGAUCUUAGUUGCCAGCAUUCAGUUGGGCACUCUAAGGUGACUGCCGGUGACAAACCGGAGGAAGGUGGGGAUGACGUCAAAUCAUCAUGCCCCUUAUGACCUGGGCUACACACGUGCUACAAUGGAUGGUACAAAGAGCUGCGAACCCGCGAGGGUAAGCCAAUCUCAUAAAGCCAUUCUCAGUUCGGAUUGUAGG
rnacentral:rRNA from 1 species